GCCUUCCUGGUGUAGUGGUUAGCACGCUCGGUGCGUUUUCGAAAGGUCCGUGGUUCGAAUCCCGGCGAGGGCA
rnacentral:tRNA from 1 species